CUGCCUUUGCGCGAGUCACGUUUGCUGAAGUCACGUGGCCGAGCUCCGACUCCAUGUGAGAGGGGACCACACAAGGAGAGGGUCCAGGGAGAGAGAAUUCGUUAGAGACCGUUAUGGAACAAUCAGCCACGGAGAUCAGCCUGCUCAGCCUGGGCUCCAUUGUCAGAAGGGACCCUCCCCGUUGAAGGUCCCCUAAGAGACUGGCUUCUUGGCCAAAUAUACAUCCGAGCCGGGGACCCGAUGAAAACAGUGAUGGCGGGACCAGGUUUCUCUUUGACUCGAGGGACAGGAACCCCAACUCACACUGGCCUAAGCAAAAAGUACAACUUAUGGGGCGCCUGGGUGGCUCAGUCGGUUGAGCAUCCAACUUCGGCUCAGGUCAUGAUCUCUUGUUUCGUGAUUUUGAGCCUUGCGUUGGGCUCUGUGCUGACAGCUCAGAGCUUGGAGCCUGCUUCAGAUUCUGUGCCUCCCUCUCUCUCUGCCCCUCCCGCACUCACACUCUGACUCUCUCUCUCAAAAAUAAAUAAACAUUAAAAAAAAUUUUUUUUAAGUACAACUUAUUGGUUCAAGGAACCGAAAACACCAAGAGCAGAGCUGGGCAUAUCCGGUGGGAUCCAGGGGCUCGAGCAAUGUCAUGGGACUUGGUCUUGCUCUCUUUGUGUCCUGCUCUGCUUUUCACCUUGCUGGGCUCUCAGGCCCUCUUUCCUCAUGGUGACAAGAUGGCUGCCAGCAACACCAGAUAUAUUCCCCACCUCUCAGCAACUCCGGCAGAAAGUGAGUGUCUUUUUUUUGUCAAGUUUCAACUGUAGCCCCAGAACUAAGUUUCACUGGCUCUGAUCGAGCCAAUGCCCAUCCCAGAACCAAUCUCUGGAGCUGAGGAGAUGGGAUAUCUGGAUUGGUCAGGCCUGGAUCACAUGUCCUUCCUUGGAACCCAUGUGUGUGAAGUCAGCUCCAUUAGUAUCCAGGCUCUGAGAGGUGGAUUGUGGUUUCAGCGGGAGCGUCAGGGCAGUGGGCCACAAGAAUAGCGUAAACUAUGUGCUGCCCGAAACAACCCUGAUGUGUUUGUGGCUAACAAGAAAAUUGUAUUUCUUGCUCCCGUUGGUGGCAGAGGUGGGGCUCCACUUCAUGUGGUCGUUCAGGGACCCAGGCUGGUGGAGGCUCUGUCCUCUUGAAUCCACAGCUUCCAAGGACACCCUGGGUGAUGGCAUCCAGCCAGAAGGCAGGAAAAUAAGGCAAAGAUGGGAAACCAAGGCUCCAGAAGCUUUCAGAAACCUGCCCAAAGUUUUACGGACAUCAAAAGGCAGCCCUGGGACUGGUAUUCGGGUGUGUCUGACGCCCGAGGCCAGGUUUAACUGCCUGUGUGUUAAAUCAGAGUCUGCAGCUAUCGGGAUGGUCUUCCUGCUGCCCAGCCAGCAUGCCUGGAGGGUGGCUGGUCACCACCAGGAGCUGGUAUGGUGAGUGCCAGUCCUGUGCUGGGUGCUGGUCUAGUCCACAGAGCAGAUCUAGUCCUGAGGCUUUGGAGCUUGGAGCACACUCCAUGGACGGAGGCUUCAGUUUCCUCCACUGGUCCCAUCUCAGACUGCUGAUUUCCCCCCCAAGAAUAGCCAUCCAUCUGAACAGGG